CUUUCAUGUUGUAUUUUUAUCGUUACACUCCCAUUGCCCUGGAUAUAUAUUAGAUCCCUCUAACCACUUAGAAUGUAUGCACUUUUGUGUUGUAUUCGCGGUGAGAUAACAAUUGGACGGUUUCUAGUUCUUUUCAAGAUAUAGUGGUUGCUUUUUACAGAUUUCAAAACUGUCCAUUUUUUUGACAUGUCUAGUUAUUCUCAAUAAAGCUUCUCCAGCCACCAAUGAGGAAGGGAGAGGCCCUACAGAACUGAAAUCUAUUACAGAAGAAAGAGACAGAGAUGUGUUUUUUUUUCUUUAUUCUGACCCACACAUGGCUACAGUAUGUUAAUCUACUUUUUUCCCCGUAUUUUUUGGCUUACCACCCUCCAGCCUUCUAAACUAUGUGGCUGGGUUUCAUUUCAUAUAGCUUGGCAGAGAGGGGGUUAGUAAUGUUAAAA